GUCGGGUGCAGUGGCGCGCGCCUGUAAUCCAAGCUGCUGGGAGACUGAGGCUGGCGGAUCGCUUGAGUUCAGGGGUUCUGGGCUGCAGUGGACUAUGUUGAUCAGGUGUCCACACUAAGUUCGGUAUCGAUAUGGUGCUCCUGGGGGAGCUCGGGACCACCAGGUCGUCUAAGGAGGGGUGAACCGGCCCAGGUCGGAGACGGAGCAGGUCAAAGCCCCCGUGUCGAUCAGUAGUGGGAUCGCUCCUGUGAAUAGACACUGCAGUGCAGCCUGAGUGAUACAGAGAGACCCAGACUUUU
rnacentral:SRP_RNA from 1 species